rnacentral:rRNA from 1 species
AUUGAACGCUGGCGGCAGGCCUAACACAUGCAAGUCGAACGAGUGGCGGACGGGUGAGUAAUGUCUGGGAAACUGCCCGAUGGAGGGGGAUAACUACUGGAAACGGUAGCUAAUACCGCAUACCAUCGGAUGUGCCCAGAUGGGAUUAGCUAGUAGGUGGGGUAACGGCUCACCUAGGCGACGAUCCCUAGCUGGUCUGAGAGGAUGACCAGCCACCCUGGAACUGCGACCCGGUCCAGACUCCUACUGGAGGCAGCGUGGGGGAAUAUUGCACAAUGGGUGCAAGCCUGAUGCAGCCAUGCCGCGUGUAUGAAGAAGGCCUUCGGGUUGUAAGGUACUUUCAGCGAGGAGGCGUUACUCGCAGAAGAAGCACCGGCUAACUCCGUGCCAGCAGCCGCGGUAUUC